UACGUAGGGAGCAAGCGUUAUCCGGAUUUAUUGGGUGUAAAGGGUGCGUAGACGGGAAGGCAAGUUGGUUGUGAAAUCCCUCGGCUUAACUGAGGAACUGCAACCAAAACUAUCUUUCUUGAGUGCUGGAGAGGAAAGUGGAAUUCCUAGUGUAGCGGUGAAAUGCGUAGAUAUUAGGAGGAACACCGGUGGCGAAAGCGGCUCUCUGGCCUGUAACUGACACUGAGGCUCGAAAGCGUGGGGAGCAAACAGG
rnacentral:rRNA from 1 species